rnacentral:rRNA from 1 species
AACGCGAAGAACCUUACCUGGUCUUGACAUCCAUGGAACCCCGCAGAGAUGUGGGGGUGCCGUAAGGAACCAUGAGACAGGUGCUGCAUGGCUGUUGUCAGCUCGUGUCGUGAGAUGUUGGGUUAAGUCCCGCAACGAGCGCAACCCUUGUCCUUAGUUGCCAUCAUUUAGUUGGGAACUCUAAGGAGACCGCCGGUGACAAACCGGAGGAAGGUGGGGAUGACGUCAAGUCAUCAUGGCCUUUAUGACCAGGGCUACACACGUGCUACAAUGGUAGGUACAGAGGGAAGCCAACCCGCGAGGGGGAGCUAAUCCCAGAAAAUCUAUCGUAGUCCGGAUUGGAGUCUGCAACUCGACUCCAUGAAGUCGGAAUCGCUAGUAAU